CCGACCAGACCAGACCAGCCCACCGCCCAGCGCCCAGCGGACCCCCUGCCCUCUCGCUCCUUUUUCUUUCUGGCAACCGAGAUGUAGUGCGCCGCCGCCUAGGGUUAGCAAGCGCCGCCGCCGCAUCCGCCCGUAAGGUUCCACCGCCGCACCCCUCCGCGCCGUCUCUUCGGUUCCGCGCCUCCUCCUGCCCGCUGCCUCGGUUCCCCACCGACAGGCCGACGAGCGACGAGAUGAGGACCUGGUGCUCGGCCGACCGCAAGUUGGCGCGCAGGAGCUAGCCCUCCCGCACCUCGCCCGCAGGCAGGGACUGCAAGCUCAUCGACCUACGCCAUGGACGAUCCCAGCCGAACGGCAUCUCAAUUUUUGUUUGCGUGCUUGAACUUUGCGUUUGCGGGCUGUGCGGCCGACGAAAACAUGUAACUUUCACGAGAGCCUCUUCUGGCGGCUGGCUGCUUACAUGUAUUCUGCAGUUUCAGCAGUUAAUAUGAUCGCUUGAGCCAGGUUUACUAUGGACAAGGAUUGGUGGGCGCGAAGCUCCUGAACCAUUCAUGAGUAAGCACGGCACGCUGCGUGUGUGCUCGCUUUCAACGUCCAUGCAGCCAAGGAAGGUUCAUGGUCCAUGCCAGACUGCAGCUUGCUCUACUGUCUACAUAUGAACUGCACUACCUGUUUUCAUCUUACAUAUGUGAGUUUCUUCUUACUGAAACUAAUUGUACAUCUGUAUAUUAUUAAGUGGUGCCUACUAACCAUUCAUAGAGUUAAUAUAUUCAGUCACAUUUCUCAUUAUUCUUACUGAAACUAUGUGCAUGUACCUUCAGUACAAAUCUUUAGUAGAGGUAUUUCUCACUAUCCGUAUGCGGUGACAGGCCUAUCGUAUUUGCAUCUUUUGAGUUAAGCCUAGCGAAUGCCCUUGCAAAUGGACUACAAGCAUGCACAUUUGUUAGAAGUCAGAGUAUGUGCAUGCUGUGCGAGCUUUUCAUUUACUAUUUAGAGUAAGUUAAAUUUUCUUAAUGUAAGGACUAUAAUUCAGUAACAUGUUCUGGUAGGCAACAAUCAGCUAUAGCUAAGGCCACACCACAAAUCUUCGUACAAUUAGCCCGAACAGGUUAUCAAUAGGGGAAAUACAUUGCGACACACUGGAUUAUCUUGGAAAAACUCAUGCUUAUAAAAAAGAAUGGUGACCUGGGCUAUGGAUGAUGUUAUUGCUUGCCACUAUGAUCCAAAAGGCAUUUUCUGUGCUAAAUCUGUUGCAGAAUCUAAAUUGAAGAUAAGUAAAGAGAAUCAAUGGCGGUUCAUUUACUGAUAGCUCUCAACCAGACCUAAUAUGAAAAAAAUGUUUAGAAGCCGAACUAUCCGUACAAUGUAAAACACUUAUUGCGGAGAUUGCAAAAUAUCUCUAUUGCUCCGAGGAGGAAUUUGCACUAGCAAGGAAAGACAUUGACACCUUCUGUUCAAUAUACAUUCGAUUUGAUUGAGAUGGUUCACAUAAUUUUUUUGUUCGAAGUUUGUAGCGUUAUUUGUGAGUCUUAACCUGCAUAAUAUCAGAAAUUUAGAGACUCUUGAGCACUGCAAGUUUGCACUCAAUUUUCGUGGAAUCCUCUCCCUAGAAUCCAAUUCGUAUUUGAUAGUCUUAACUUCUAUUUGAAAGUAGUGGGAGGGAAGAAAUAAUAGCAGGAGUGUUGAAAGAAGUGAUAUUCUGAGGUACUAUGCUUUAUCAGCACACUGCUGAAUACAUCAAUGAUCACAUGCUACCCAAGUUCAUGUGGUGGAAACCUCCUGAUGCUGACAAAUUGGAGCUCAGUAUUAAAGGCUUCUACAGUGCUGGAUUGAGCUGGGAUGGCCGGGAUUUCGUAAUUUGGGAUUGCAUAAAAUGUUUAUCGCCGCUUGAUCUGGUCGGUAUGAGCAGCUUCAAGAUACUGUGUAGGCUGAAGUCAGAGUUCUAUAUGUUAUAUAGCAGUGCCCUUACUUUCGUGUGUUAACUUAAUCACUGUAUGGGUAGAACCCUUCUUAGUUCAGUAUUGGGUCUUUAUCCAACUUAGGCAAUGUACAGUGUAGCUAUUUAUUUAUUACCCCUGCUCAGUAUGCAAAUGGAGAUAUUUACUGUACAUACAUCUUUCUGAUAGAUACAUAUAUAUACAGCAGAACAAGGUGUUUUUCCUAAAUGUAACCCGUAGCUAGCUCCUUUAAGCGAAAUUGAUUAAAUCUGGUGGAGGUCCUCACUCAUGUGAGUUUAUGGGCUUGAUUAUAAUACUCUACUUUGUUUGCCUUUACGUCUCUUGGGGUGAAGGUUGAUCCUUGGGAUAGUGAAAUGGUAUUUCUGUAGGAACACAAUUUGCUGCUGGUCCUCUUCAUAUGGGGAGCAAGAAUGAGAUAAUUGUUGCCAUAUUUGCGUGCUCUUUUUUCCCAAGAUGCUGACAACUAAUUGAGCAGGCAACAUCUAUA